AUCCAGUCUCUCUUCCUGCUGGGCCUUCAGCAGCCCGAAGGCUUUUCCUCCUGAGGGUGCACAAAGUAAAAUCUACAGAGCUCAGAAAUUCGAGAAUUUUAGUAGAUUCUUUGGAGGAACUGAAAGUGGUGCUGAGAGAGACAGCAUUUGUGGACACAAGAGCUAGCGGAAUCCGCUGUCCUCCAUGGAGACAGACACCGUCAAGGACAAGCACCUGGACCAUCUCCUC